UUCUGGUAAAUCGCUGAUCGGGGAAAGCAUAUAGGAAUACGUGUGGAGGAGGACUCAAGGGAAAUACAUGGAGUGGAGCUCUGUUUAGAAGGAUUUACGUAAAUCCUUCUGUUUAGAAGAAUUUGCGAAGUCACUGCAGAAAAAUACAAUCGAAGAUUCAAGCGAUAUCGGAAACGAAGUAUUAUCAGUACCAGAACAGAGUUCAGAACAGUCUACGAUUCAGGAAAUACAAAUAGAAGCAAGUGGAAGUACCAG